CGAACGAAGAGUUUGAUCCUGGCUCAGGAUGAACGCUGACAGAAUGCUUAACACAUGCAAGUCGACUCGAGUCUUCGGACUUGGGUGGCGCACGGGUGAGUAACGCGUAAAGAACUUGCCUCUUAGACCGGGACAACAUCUGGAAACGGAUGCUAAUACCGGAUAUUAUGGUUUUUUCACAUGGAGGAAUCAUGAAAGCUAGAUGCGCUAAGAGAGAGCUUUGCGUCCCAUUAGCUGGUUGGUGAGGUAACGGCCCACCAAGGCAAUGAUGGGUAGCCGGCCUGAGAGGGUGAACGGCCACAAGGGGACUGAGACACGGCCCUUACUCCUACGGGAGGCAGCAGUGGGGAAUAUUGGACAAUGG
rnacentral:rRNA from 1 species